CGGAAGUAGGAGAAUGGCGUGAACCCGGGAGGCAGAGCUUGCAGUGAGCCGAGAUCGCGCCACUGCGCUCCAGCCUAGGCAACAGAGCAAGACUCCGUCUCAAAAAAAAAAAAAAAAAGGAUCACUAGCUAGGAGGACAAGAAGUGGAAGCAAGACAAUAAUUCAGGUGCUGCUAUAUAAUAAUGCAGUGUGUAUCUGUUUUAUUGCUUGUGAACAUUUUCAUCAGAGGAGAAAAGAAGGAGAUGGAGAAACCAUUUAUCGAAGACUUACCAUGUACCCUGCAUUAUAUGUACAUGAGAGAUACAGUAACAAUCCUAGAUACAAUCCUAGGAGGAAGUUGGGAACCACAAAUUGACAGAUUGUUUUUCUGCAUAAUAGAAGCAAAGUAAAGGGAAAUAAUAUUGCAUUUCUUAUACCUGGGCCCACACUCUCGAACUUUUACUUGCUACAAAUAUUUCAAGGUGACCCCUGAACGGUGCCAGUGGAUAGUAAGCUAGACAAUAUCUGAUUCCAUUGGUUCCAAUCAAAUAUAAAUAAAAGUAGAUAUAUGUCAUACUUUACAUACAAAGAUGAGGUGGUUAAUUUAUCACUAAAAGUGGCUUGGAGUUAGUAGGGUUCCUGGUUCCUGGGAAAAAUACCCUUUAUGGCUUAAGCUCCAUCAAACAGAAACCAUUCUAUAAAGCUACUUGCCUUACCUUUGCCAUUAGAUUGCUCUCCAAAUUAGUUAAAACUUUUAAGCCUAUUUACAAAGCUGUCUGAUGCAAUCCGAUUAUGACACAGCUUGAAUUUCAGUGCCAAUUAUAUGUUUGGGAUAAAAAGAUGAGAUUGGCUUAUAACUAUAUAUUUUUGAAAGAUAGGUGUGUGAUUUGUGCCUGGGAAUCCAAGACCUUAAAUACCUAACUGGUCUUGAUGAAAGUCAGAGAAAUACUAGCUACCCCAUAAUAGAGGUCUUUCCAGGGCAGCCUGGAGCAGUAGAGCACAGAUUCUGAAACUACGACUGCUGUUGUACCUGCUCAGACUUGCUGAAAGAAGAGCUACUCUUCCUCUGACAAAAUGAGGACUGAUGGGUUCUUCUCAGUUUCCUUGGAGACCCACAGGGUGCUGGAGCAACUCCUUCUCCCAUUCUACCAUGUGUGGGUACUGCUAUUGUACUAUUAGUCAGGGGGUGAGAAACCUAACCCUUUACCCCCAGCUGCUAAAUUUUUUCUUCUUUCUUCCUAAGUCCGGAGAGGACAAGAGGCAGCCCCAAAGCUUGCUUUUGUUUUGCCUGUACCUUGGGGAUCCACACUCUUUCUAAGGCCCGUUUUUACAGAAAGAGGGAUGUGCUUCUGUUCUCACUCUAGAACUCAGAUCUACACACGUAGACUUUGAAUUGUUUCUCCAGUAGUGGCCAUGGGCUAUAUCCAUAUUAUUAUUGUUUAAAUGUGUCACCCGCAGUUCAUGUGUUGGAAACCUAAUCCCCAACUUAACAGUAUUGAGAGGCAGGACACUUAAGAGGUGAUUAAGUCAUGAGGGCUCUGCUCUCAUGAAUGGAUGAAUGCUGUUAUCUUGGGAAUGGGUUAAUCAUCAUAGGAAUGGGUUCCUGAUAAAAUAAUGAGUUUGACCCCCAUCUGUCUUGCUCUCUCUCAUGCUCUUUCACCAUGUGAAGCCUUCCAUCAUGUUAUGACUCAGCAAGAAGGCCCUUGCCAGAUGCAGGUGCUUUGACCUUGAACUUCUCAGCCUCCAGAACUGUGAGAAAUAAAUUACUUUUCUUUAUAAAUU
rnacentral:lncRNA from 10 species